GAGAGUGAAGCUCAGUGAUAAAGCAUUUGCCUAGCAUGCACAAAGUUCUGGGUUUCAUCCCCAGCACCUCCA
rnacentral:tRNA from 1 species